AGAGUUUGAUCAUGGCUCAGGAUUAACGCUGGCGGUAUGCCUAACACAUGCAAGUCGAACGGAAUACUCGAAAAGAGAAUCUCACACUAGUGAGAGGUUCUCCAACCGAGUAUUAGUGGCGGACGGGUGAGUAACACGUUGGAACCUGCCCCGAAGUGGGGAAUAACUGCUCGAAAGAGUAGCUAAUACCCCAUAGUAUCCGGUUUAUCCGGAUUAAAGAUUUAUCGCUUCGGGAGGGGCCUGCGUCUGAUUAGCCUGUUGGUGGGGUAAAAGCUCACCAAGGCGACGAUCAGUAGCUGGUUCGAGAGGAUGACCAGCCACACUGGGACUGAGAUACGGCCCAGACUCCUACGGGAGGCAGCAGUGAGGAAUCUUCCACAAUGGACGAAAGUCUGAUGGAGCAAUACCGCGUGCAGGACGACGCUUUUCGGAGUGUAAACUGCUUUUGUCGUCGUAGAUUAUGACUGUAGACGAAGAAUAAGGACCGGCUAACUACGUG
rnacentral:rRNA from 1 species